rfam:Sphaerobolus stellatus SS14 unplaced genomic scaffold SPHSTscaffold_98, whole genome shotgun sequence.
UGCCCCAUGGCUUAGUUGGCUAUAGCGUCCGACUGUUAAUCGGAAGGUCGAGAGUUCGAGCCUCUCUGGGGCAG